rnacentral:rRNA from 1 species
GAUGAACGCUGGCGGCGUGCCUAAUACAUGCAAGUCGAGCGAACAGACGAGGAGCUUGCUCCUCUGACGUUAGCGGCGGACGGGUGAGUAACACGUGGAUAACCUACCUAUAAGACUGGGAUAACUUCGGGAAACCGGAGCUAAUACCGGAUAAUAUAUUGAACCGCAUGGUUCAAUAGUGAAAGACGGUUUUGCUGUCACUUAUAGAUGGAUCCGCGCCGCAUUAGCUAGUUGGUAAGGUAACGGCUUACCAAGGCAACGAUGCGUAGCCGACCUGAGAGGGUGAUCGGCCACACUGGAACUGAGACACGAUCCAGACUCCUACGGGAGGCAGCAGUAGGGAAUCUUCCGCAAUGGGCGAAAGCCUGACGGAGCAACGCCGCGUGAGUGAUGAAGGUCUUCGGAUCGUAAAACUCUGUUAUUAGGGAAGAACAAAUGUGUAAGUAACUAUGCACGUCUUGACGGUACCUAAUCAGAAAGCCACGGCUAACUACGU